UCUGUAUGGAGGAGCCACUUCGGUGGCAGGAAGACAGGUGGUGCAUGGUUGUCGUCAGCUCGUGUCGUGAGAUGUUGGGUUAAGUCCCGCAACGAGCGCAACCCUUAUUGUUAGUUGCUACCAUUUAGUUGAGCACUCUAGCGAGACUGCCCGGGUUAACCGGGAGGAAGGUGGGGAUGACGUCAAAUCAUCAUGCCCCUUAUGUCUAGGGCUACACACGUGCUACAAUGGUCGGUACAAUGAGAUGCAACCUCGCGAGAGUGAGCAAAACUAUAAAACCGAUCUCAGUUCGGAUUGUAGGCUGAAACUCGCCUACAUGAAGCUGGAGUUGCUAGUAAUCGCGAAUCAGAA
rnacentral:rRNA from 1 species